UGUGAUCUCUCUCUCUCUCUCUCUCACAGGGAUAUUCUACACAGCAGCCAUUGUGGGUCCAGCAGCAGGCUACCUGCUGGGCGGAUACUUCCUCAACAUCUACACUGAGAUCCACCUGACCACAGAGAUGACACCAGAGAACCCUCUGUGGGUCGGGGCUUGGUGGAUCGGCUUCCUAGCAGGAGGAGCAGCAGCUCUACUGAUAGCAUUCCCCAUCCUAGGCUACCCACGGCAGCUACCAGGCUCUCAGGAGUAUGUGGCCAUGCGGGUCUCUGAGGCCCACCAGCUUAAGGACGGAAGCCACACAACAGCCUCAGACCCUCAGUUUGGCAAAUCGGUCAAAGACAUGCCAAG